GACGAACGCUGGCGGCGUGCCUAAUACAUGCAAGUCGAACGCUUCUUUCCUCCCGAGUGCUUGCACUCAAUUGGAAAGAGGAGUGGCGGACGGGUGAGUAACACGUGGGUAACCUACCCAUCAGAGGGGGAUAACACUUGGAAACAGGUGCUAAUACCGCAUAACAGUUUAUGCCGCAUGGCAUAAGAGUGAAAGGCGCUUUCGGGUGUCGCUGAUGGAUGGACCCGCGGUGCAUUAGCUAGUUGGUGAGGUAACGGCUCACCAAGGCGACGAUGCAUAGCCGGUCUGAGAGGGUGAUCGGCCACACUGGGACUGAGACACGGCCCAGACUCCUACGGGAGGCAGCAGUAGGGAAUCUUCGGCAAUGGGCGAAAGUCUGACCGAGCAACGCCGCGUGAGUGAAGAAGGUUUUCGGAUCGUAAAACUCUUUUGUUAGAGAAGAACAAGGACGUUAGUAACUGAACGUCCCCUGACGGUAUCUAACCAGAAAGACACGGCUAACUACGUG
rnacentral:rRNA from 1 species